rnacentral:lncRNA from 1 species
AAGAACACGCGAGCCCAGCCCCAAAUUUCGUCCCAAAAAUCGCCAAAAUUCACGCGAGUGUGCAUCAAGCCCUAACCCACGCGUCAUUCUAUCUCUUCUCUUGCUGUUGCUAACGGUUUCUGAUGCCAAGAUUCCUCCUCCUCCCACUCACUCGAAUUCGAGUUUAAACACGUGAUUGGAAGGGUCUGGAAGACGAAUGCUGGAUGAGUGUGAGGCGUUGGAUUGAUUUCACUCAAUCUGAGCCCCACAUUCAUCAAGGAUGGGUCUUCAAAAUAGAUUUUAUCCAAUUUCGUGAGCGGGGUCUGAUAAUUUCGGAGAGGAAAAAAGGGUUCUAGGGUUCUUUGCUUUCCUUCUUUUGAAUCUGGUAAUGCAUUUUCAGAAAAGAAAAAUACAAAAAAAUAGUUUUUGUUUGAUUUUUGUUCGAGUUUCAUUUCAGGAGAAAUUAGAAAAUCACCAAAGAUUUCCAUAUUUGCUUGAUUUUGGUUCUUAAAAUGGAGUUCGAUUAAAAGUUGCUGAGUUCGUCGCUGUCCAAACUUCUGAUUGCUGCUCGUCUUUGCUACUGGUUUGGCUGUGCUCCGAGACUUGACCUGCUGUUAUUGUACUGCUGAAAGUUUGGAGUCGAAACUGUGUAAUCGCCUUCGAUUUUGUUAUCAAAAGAAGUUCGAAAUUUCAGGUUCAGUCUUCAUCUGUUGUGCUUGCAAUUCUGUUUCGUUUCAGUAUUUUUUUUUAGCUAUGAGAUUCAGUCCAGGGUGAUUUGUUUGUGUUAUGAUCGAUUUUUUUGUGGACUGAGUCUGUUCUCAGUAAUGGUAUGUGUUUGAGUACAUGGUAUGGAUUCUUGAAGAUGUCACACUACUAUUGUUUUAAGUCAACUGGCAUGCUUGAUUUGCAAAGCUAUCCUGUUAUGUCUGUUUAUUCUGUUAGCAUAAGCAUGUUCUGACUGGAUCGAGAUGGUAUGGAUUCUUGAAGAUGUCACAGUACUGUUGUUUCAAGUCGACUGGCCUGCUUAAUGAUUUGCAAAGCUAUCCUGUUAUGUCUGUUUAUUCUGUUAGCAUAAGCAUGUUCUGACUGGGAAUUUGAGACAUGGUUUUGCUUUGAUUCUAAACAUGAUAGUGUUGGUUUCUGUUUGAAUAAGCUCUCAUUAGAAGGAUGUCGGAGUUUUUUUUUUGCUCAUUAGUCGAUUAGCUCGAGCAUGCUAGAGUUCGUCUUGUGCGCUUAAAGCAAUCUAGCGUUUGAAGCUAUCCUCAUCAUUUUACUGUUAGCAACUUAGUAAAGUUCUAAUGUUUGAGGUUCUGAUGUUCAGAUUGUUGAAUCAAAAUCUUGUCCAUCUAAGUUUGGAAACAAAUCUCUUGUCAACUGUCUGAGGCUUUAACAUUUUGCUCCAAGUUCAUUCAAAUGCAAGACCCUCUUCUGUUGCAACCUUUGAGUCAUAUGUGUUGCGUUUGUGAUGUUCUGCCCCAAGUUUAUAACGUGAUUUGAAAGAGUGUCUCAUGAUUUCUUUUGCUGAAACUUCAUUCAUGUGUGUGUGCCAUCUCUAGUCUGCUUUUUUUUUUAAAAAAAAGAAAAGAAAAGAAGUGAAAAUAGAAGCAUUAUUGUUGGGCUGAAUCUGUUGAAGUUCCCUAUUGAUAAUAUUUGUUCUUUAUGGUUCACCAUGUUUGAGGGGAUUAAGUGAAUGCUCAUGUUUCCGGCUCCAUGCUCGAUUACUCCCUGUUAAGGAUGUGUUCAGUAAUUAGUUGGUUCAUGACUAGUUCGAUGAGCGUUUGAUAUUUGAAGUGUUUGUGUGUCUGGUUCUUAUGGUACUAUCAAGGUGAGGUCGUCUAGUGUUCAUGACUGGUUCGAUGUGUGUUUGAUAUUUGAAGUGUUUAUGUCUGGUUCUUAUGGUACUAUCGAGGUGAGGUCGUCUAGUCUCAUUGUUUGGUUGCUUUGUGGCUAGCAUCUUGUCUUGUUUCACCUUGAGAGGAUCAUGUGAGUUCAUUCGUGGUUAUAAUUUGUGAAGAUAUUGAAGUAAUUUGAAGCAUGAUUAGAACGAAUAUUGACGAAAAGGUCACUCUAGAACACACACUGGUUUUCUCUGAAGGUUUCUUUCAAAAUAUGAUGAUUUCUUAGUUUGAUACACUGACUUUAGCAAAGAAAAGGAAUUCUCUGAAGACCCGGAAGUGGAUUUUAGUGUGUGUUCGUCUACUUCAUGAUUUCUGGAUUUUCGUUUGAUUCUGGGGCUUAAAUGAAGCUGUGUAACUGAUUUUGCAUUGCCGAACUCCUCUCAUCUUCACAUUCUCCCUUUACUUGGCUGAUGACGCUUCUGUUUAUGUGGAUUACAACUAGAUACACAUUAAGCCGCAUUGUGUUCAUGUUGGUUUUUGUGCAAUUAUUGGAAUGAAUCAACUUUGAAAUAUGAUUGAUAGUGGUUUUAUUAUAUAAUCCACUUGCUACUACUGUAAGUUGUAUUUCUAAAUAUCAAUGCACCAGUUCUAUUCUGAAGCUCAUUAUGUGUUAGCCUUCAUACUUUUUUGUCUUU